UGAGUUAUGUUUGGUGCAGCCUUUCCUGCUCACUGAAAAGUUCAUUUUCACACAUUAAAACAAGUCAAAAGGGCUUUUAACAAUGUGGAUAUGAUUGUUUGUGUUGGCAAAAGUAGAAAUGAAAUGCUGUGCUGCAACGUUUUUCAUGCUAAUAACCAUGAAUGCAAACAGUGGCGUGAUUUAAGAGGUGUGAAGAAUGAGCUGGAGAACGUGUUUAGAGUGGGAUAUCACCUCGGAUUGUUACACAUCAUCUCUUCGCUGCUUUUAAUUAUUCUGUUGCUGGAUCUGAUAAACGAUUAACAUACUGAAAAGAAAAUAAAGGAAACAAUAAAAUGUAAAAUAACAUUUUAAAUAGAUUUGAAAUAAAAACAAUAAAAUAUCAAUAUUUAAAUGUUACAAUUAUGGGGUAAAUGAAAAGUGCGCCAUGGGACAGCGGCGUUGUGAUUUUGGUCCAUUAAAACACCAACAUGAUCUAUAAUCAACCCAGCUCUCUGGAGACGCACAAACUGUUUCCCAUUUUACACCUCUGAGAGCCAACAAUGAGAUGCACAAUGCAGAAAUAACUGACCGAAACAGAAAGAGGAAAAAAAAAAAAAAAAAAAAAAAAAAGAAAUGUGGGAUCUCUUAUUUUGAGUGCACCCCAUGGUUUCCAAAAUGUGCACUUUUUGUGUGCCACAGUAAAAGUGCAUUUGCAUAACUGAAGCCAAACAUAGUUUAUGUGCACCUUCUUUAUUUAUUUCUAGCAAUUUGUCACAGCGGUCUUGUGACUUGCACUGUGUCGACACACGGCACCGACAUUUCAAAUUUGUUGCGCUUAAGAUGCCAAAACACGCUGAUGUUUGGAGGUGUGGCCAAAGAGCUGAGAGCAGGGCGGUGACUGUGCGAACAACGGAGAAGCAGAAUUUUCAGCUAAAAAAAAAUGGGAAAAUGUGAGUUUCAAAAACAACUGUCCAGUUUGUUGUAAAAAAAAAAAAAAAAAAGUCCAACAUAAAUACUGUAGCUAGGUUUAUGACAUAGCUAACGCUAGUAGAGAUCCACGCGCGGUUCUGUCUGCGCAGACCAGUGCAGCAGGCUGAGCGCAAUAAUGUGAAUGCAUCUUAAAUUGUGAAAAGAUGAAGUUUUUGCAG